UGGGGAAUAUUGCACAAUGGGCGCAAGCCUGAUGCAGCCAUGCCGCGUGUAUGAAGAAGGCCUUCGGGUUGUAAAGUACUUUCAGCGGGGAGGAAGGUGUUGAGGUUAAUAACCUCAGCAAUUGACGUUACCCGCAGAAGAAGCACCGGCUAACUCCGUGCCAGCAGCCGCGGUAAUACGGAGGGUGCAAGCGUUAAUCGGAAUUACUGGGCGUAAAGCGCACGCAGGCGGUCUGUCAAGUCGGAUGUGAAAUCCCCGGGCUCAACCUGGGAACUGCAUUCGAAACUGGCAGGCUAGAGUCUUGUAGAGGGGGGUAGAAUUCCAGGUGUAGCGGUGAAAUGCGUAGAGAUCUGGAGGAAUACCGGUGGCGAAGGCGGCCCCCUGGACAAAGGCUGACGCUCAGGUGCGAAAGCGUGGGGAGCAAACA
rnacentral:rRNA from 1 species